rnacentral:rRNA from 1 species
GAAGAGUUUGAUCAUGGCUCAGAUUGAACGCUGGCGGCAGGCCUAACACAUGCAAGUCGAGCGGAAACGAUCCUAGCUUGCUAGGAGGCGUCGAGCGGCGGACGGGUGAGUAAUGCAUAGGAAUCUGCCCGGUAGUGGGGGAUAACUUGAGGAAACUCAAGCUAAUACCGCAUACGCCCUACGGGGGAAAGCAGGGGCUCUUCGGACCUUGCGCUAUCGGAUGAGCUUAUGUCGGAUUAGCUGGUUGGUGAGGUAACGGCUCACCAAGGCGACGAUCCGUAGCUGGUCUGAGAGGAUGAUCAGCCACAUCGGGACUGAGACACGGCCCGAACUCCUACGGGAGGCAGCAGUGGGGAAUAUUGGACAAUGGGGGCAACCCUGAUCCAGCCAUGCCGCGUGUGUGAAGAAGGCCCUCGGGUUGUAAAGCACUUUCAGCGAGGAAGAAUGCUUGUCGGUUAAUACCCGGCAAGGGAGACAUCACUCGCAGAAGAAGCACCGGCUAACUCCGUGCCAGCAGCCGCGGUAAUACGGAGGGUGCGAGCGUUAAUCGGAAUUACUGGGCGUAAAGCGUGCGUAGGCGGCUUGAUAAGCCGGUUGUGAAAGCCCCGGGCUCAACCUGGGAACGGCAUCCGGAACUGUUAGGCUAGAGUGCAGGAGAGGAAGGUAGAAUUCCCGGUGUAGCGGUGAAAUGCGUAGAGAUCGGGAGGAAUACCAGUGGCGAAGGCGGCCUUCUGGACUGACACUGACGCUGAG